rnacentral:lncRNA from 1 species
GUGGGCAGAUGGCAUGGCUCCAGGAGCUUGAGGCCAGCCUGAGCAACAUGGUGAAACAUGGUCUCUACAAAAAGUUAAAAAAUAAAAAUAGCCAAGCAUGGUGUUGCACACCUGUAGUCCCAGCUACUCUGGAGGCUGAGGUGGAAGGAUCACCUGAGCCCUGGAGACGGAGGUUGCAGUGAGCCAGGAGUGCACCCCUGCACCCCAGCCUUGGUGACAGAGCAAGACUCUGCCCCCACCCCUUAAAAUGAAAAAAAACUCUUUCCUCAUCUACAGAAGAUACCUUCUGCCAAGGUCAUGAUGAGGAAAUAAUGCAACUGACUUGUACUCUCAGAAACUUGAGCAAAGUGACCACAUCCUCAGCCAGUGCAAAGCCCCGCAGUACAAUCUGUAACAUUUCUAUUCAUUCAGAAAGGGAAAGAUGAAUCCAUUUUGCAACUCAGUUCAUACUGUUCAGAUAAAUAUACCAAGUAGUACAUGUGGAGGUGGUGGUCGAGGUCCUACAGGCAACAAUGGGUAGGGGAGCUGGUUGAGGUCCUGGAGGAGUUCAGAUAGCAGAGGCCAGGCAAGUGGAGGAGGUGGCAGAUGUACUAGAGGAGACCCUGGUGGAGGAGGUGGCUGAAGUCCCAGGGACCACAAGUGGAGAUUAUUGAAGUAACCGAGGAGAUUCAUGUGAAGGUGGUUAUUGAGGGGCCAGACGCCACCCAGGUAGAAGGGGUGGCUGAGGAUCCAGAGGUUACUAAGUGGAGAUGUAGUCGGAGGUCCCAGAGGCCUCACAGAACAAAAAGGUAAAUGAUGUCCUAGAGGAAAGGCAGCUAUAAAAGAUGGAUGAGGUCCCGGAGGGAAGACACAUGCUGGACGUGGAUGAGGUCUGGGAGGACCAAGAGCUGUAGGAGGUGGAUGAGGUCCCGGAAGACAGACACAUGUAGCAUGUUGAUGAGGUCCCAGAAGACCUACAGCUGCAGGGCGUGGAUGAAGUCCCAGAGGACCAACAGCUGCAGGAGGUGAAUGAGGUCCCGGAAGACCAACAGCUGCAAAAGGUGGAUGAGGUCCCGGAGGACCGACAGCUGCAGGAGGUGGAUGAGGUCAGAUGCAUGCCGCGGGUCAAUGAGGUCAUGGAGGACCAACAGGUGCAGCAGGUGAUUGAGGUCCUGGAGGAUUGACAGCCGCAGGUGGUGGAUGAGGUCCGGAAAGACAGGCAGCUGCAGUAGGUGGAUGAGGUCCUGGAGGACUGACAGCUGCAGGAGCUGGAUAAGGCCCCAGAGAAUAAUCGAGUGGAGGAGGUGGUUGAGUUUUCAGGGGACUCUCUAGUGCAGGAGGUGGCUGAGUUCCCAGAGGACAGUCGAGUGGAGGUGCUUGAGUUCCCAGAGGACUCUCCAGUGGAGGAGUUUGUUGAGGUCCCAGAAAACCUUCAGAUGGAGGGAGUGUUUGAGUUCCCUGACAACACCCGGUAGAGGAGGCGGCUGGCAGCCCAUCAAUGGUCCUGAAGGGCCAGCCAUGAGAUCGGGCAAGUAGGGCCAUUCUGAGAAAGGAUGAGGCUUCCCUGUAGCCACAUUGACCUACAAGUCAGGAGGAGAAAAUGUUUUGAAAUAUAUGAAUAUGAUGGACAAAAACACCAAAACCAACACAAGCUGCACCUUAUGCCUCAGGUGAUAGUCCCUUGCACCUUUCCCUCCUCCAGGUUUCAAAAUGGCAGCAUCAAUGCCAUAAAGUGUCCCUUCAACUGAGUCCUGCCAACAGCAGGGGAGUGAAGAAAAGUCGUGGGGACAAACUGCUAUCCCCACACGCCACUCUGUCUGCAAAUGUACGCAGGCUGGGGCCUGUCCCUGGGAAGACAGAGUCAUAACCCAGUAAUAAAGAAGCAUGUUUCUGACACAGGGGUGUCUAUGUCUAUCCUAAUUCCUCCCUCACCAUCAUCACUGGAGCAUGUUCCUUGCAUCAGAUAAAUAGAGAGAAAGAGAAGCAUGAAAAGCCCAUUGUCCACACAUGAGUCACAGCUACUCUUAAGAGAAUGGCCUCCAGGCUUUUCAUGUGCUGUCUCUGAUUCUCAGAAAUCUGCAAGGUCAGUGUGACCACCCUGCUCCAAAUCUAAGAAAAUAGAGGCUCCAGAGGAAGGAGAAAUUUCACCUAGCAUCACACAGCUUGCAAGAAGCAGAGUGGAAGUCGAUUCCAGCUCUGCCUGCAAGACCCUCUCGUCCCCCUUCUG